UUUCUCUCGGCUUUCUUCUUCUUCUUCUUCACCGAAACAGAGCCUCCUCCCUGUUCUUCCAACCGUGGCCUCCUUUUAUAUCUUCAAGAGCACCCCGUAUCAAAUCCCUCUUUCCCUUGUUUGGCAUCGGAAUCAAAGGGGAAGGAGCUGGAUGUGGUAGGUAUGCCUUGCAGAGGUUGGCACGCAGAGGAUAUCUCGAACACGGCUGGGCGCAUUGGGUGCUGGGAUCCCUGAAAAUGGAAGGAGCUGUGAUCGUAUCCCGGAAUGGCUGUGGCUGCAAAUGGAUUGGAAGAAGCUGGGUUGAAUGUGGUUGAGAUCCGUGGAUGCUGGGAAGAUUGCAUCGCGGGAGGAGAUCAAAUCCGGGACGAUUUGCUUCGUUGUGCUGGGAAGGAAAGAAGUCACCGGCUGGCUGCUUUGGGAAGAAGAUCUCCCCUGUUUCAGUGCUGGGAAGGAGAAUGGAAAGAGAGGAUUUGGGAGAUGAUUUGUGAGCCCGGGAUAGCUGGAAGUUGGGCGGAAGCGGGGGAGAUUGGUCUUCCACUCGGUCGCUGGCUGGAUUGACUGAUGGCGGAACACACGGGGAUGACGACGUUGCCACAGAUGCUUGGAUGCGGAAAAUGCCCAGCUGGAUGCAUCGCGGGAGAAGUGGGGACGUGCGGAGGAUUUGGCUAUGGCUGCUGGGAAGGAAAGAAAGAGAGGAUUUUGGUUGGGAUGAAAUCUUUGGGCGCUGGUUUGGAGCUGGCUGGGAAUGGAUUUGAUCUUGAAACAGGGGAUUUUUUUUUGGACGUGAUCCAGAGGGAGUGAUGUUGGAUUUGUGAAUCGGUUGGGAGGAAGUCUUUGGGCGCGGAAGGAAUGGAGGAUCGGGUUGGGUGAUCUGCCGAUUUUUGGGAAGAGAAAUCCCCUGCUUCGGGCGCUGGAUUGGAGGGGAAGAUCGUUCUUUUUCUUGCUCUAUUUUGCUGGGAAAGUAGGUAGCCGUGAGGAGGCGGGGACGUGGGCCGAUGCAGAAGGGAUCACUCGGUAUGUUCCAAAACAGGGAGGGGAAGAGAGUAAAUAUGAUGUGGGAGAUGAAUACGGGAAUGAGUAGGAUAUGUGAAUUUUUUAUUAUUUAUAUUUCUACUUUCUUUUUUAGAAAAGUGGUUGGGUCCAUUCGGGUAGGUUGGAAGGGCUUUGAAUCUAAAAUAAAGGAAGUUUGGACACGUGGAGAAAAUGGGAGAGGCCUCUAUUUUGCUAGGUUGGGAAGCUUGAUGCACACGGAAAAAUAUGACAUGGACAAAGGAAUGAAUAGCUUCAUGCACA
rnacentral:lncRNA from 1 species